UCUGUAUAGCCCUGGCUGUCCUGGAACUCACUCUGUAGACCAGGCUGGCCUCAAAAUCAGAAAUCCGCCUGCCUAUGCCUCCCAUAGUGCUGGGAUUACAGGCAUGCACCACCACCGUCUGGCAGCCUAAACAUUUGUAAUGUUGGUGCUACUGUGGAAAAGUGGGAGGCAAAGACAGAAAAGUCCCUAGAAGCUUACAGGCCAGCUAGCUUAGUGUGCUCAACACGCGCACGCACGUGUGCGUGUGUAGAUCCCCAGGACCUACAUAGAGAAUCCUGCAUGUUCUUUGGCCUACACACACACACACACACAGAUAUACACAGAGGCACACACAUGGGCACACAGAGGCAUGUAGUACUGUGAUGGUUUGUAUAUGCUUGUCCCAGGGAGUGGCACUAUUAGAAGGUGUUGCCUUGUUGGAGGAAGUGUCACUGUGGGGAUGGACUUGGAGAUCUUCCUCCUAGAUGCCUGAGCAUGCCCAGUCUGUUCCUGGCUUCCUUUGGAAAAAGAUGCAGAACCCUCAGCUCCUCCUGCACCAUGCCUGUCUGGAUGCUGCCAUGCUUCUGCCUUGAUGACAAAGGACUGAACGCCUGAACCUGGUCUCACACCAUAGCUCCUGCUUUCUUGGAAUUCACUGUGUAGCCCCAGUUGGCUGUGAACUCAGCAGUCCUGCUUCAACAUCUCAGUACGCACUGUCAUCCAAGUGAGGUCCAGCCAGUGAGAUGGUCAGAGUGCUCGUCCUGUGUAGGUCCUGAGUUCAAUUUCUAGCAACUGCAUGGCAGCUCACAACUGCCCACAACUCCAGUUCCAGGAAUCUGACUCCCUCAAACACCAAAGACAUAAAUAAAUUAUUCGAGAAGAAGAGGAAGAGGAGGAGGAGGAAACUAUCCUACCCAACAGUGGAUGGAAGGAAUCACCCCCAUUAACAGUGGAGGGGCUGGAACACAGAAGGCUUAAGGAAGCUACCGGGGCCCACACAGUCCAUUUCUCAUGAACUAGAGGAAACUGAGGCUCCCGGUCCUUGUGUCUCUUUCAUCCUUGCUUCCUUGGGCCUAAGUCAGCACAUGGCACACCCUAGUACUUGGAAAAUACUGGUUGACUGAAUGAGCCAAUGAAUGGUCUAUGAGUUCAACAGAGUCUUCUGUGAGAACACAAAAUAACAAUAAACAAUAAAACCAAACAUUAAACUACA